GACGAACGCUGGCGGUGUGCUUAACACAUGCAAGUCGAACGAAGUGGCGAACGGGUGAGUAACGCGUAAUCAACCUGCCCUUCCGAGGGGGUCAACAGUUGGAAACGACUGCUAAUACCGCAUACUGAAGAAGGGGAUUGCGUGUGAUUAGCUAGUUGGAGGGGUAACGGCCCACCAGGGCGAUGAUCAGUAGACGGUCUGAGAGGAUGAACGGCCACAGUGGGACUGAGACACGGUCCAGACUCCUACGGGAGGCAGCAGUGGGGAAUAGUGGACAAUGGGCGAAAGCCUGAUGCAGCCAGGCCGCGUGUGUGAAGAAGGUCUUCGGAUUGUAAAGCACUUUAAGGUGGGAGGCGUUACCAACAGAAUAAGCACCGGCUAACUCCGUGCCAGCCGCCGCGGUAAUUC
rnacentral:rRNA from 1 species